AAGUCGUAACAAGGUUUCCGUAGGUGAACCUGCGGAAGGAUCAUUACUAAUUUAUAGUCUCAGACUAUUCAGUUUCAAACUGGUCAUCAUUCACGUUGAUCUAUAGGAUUAUAGAUUAACAGUGGUUUUUGGGUGUUUUUGAUACUAAAAAUGCCCACAUCAGUGGUAUAGUACUAUCCACUCUAAAUAUUUGUACUAUGAAACCAAACUAACAUCCAAACCAUGAUUGUGAUUGUUAAAUAAACAAAAUAACUUUUAACAAUGGAUCUCUUGGCUCUU
rnacentral:misc_RNA from 1 species